rnacentral:piRNA from 1 species
UGUAGUACACACACCAUAGAA